rnacentral:tRNA from 1 species
GAUCGCGUGCCCGAGUGGUCAGGGCUUCGCCUGCAAAGCGAAUGAACGUCGGUUCGAAUCCGACCGCGAUCU